UACGAAGGGGACUAGCGUUGUUCGGAAUCACUGGGCGUAAAGCGCACGUAGGCGGAUGUGUCAGUCAGGGGUGAAAUCCCGGGGCUCAACCUCGGAGCUGCCUUUGAUACAGCACGUCUCGAGUCCGGAAGAGGUGGGUGGAAUUCCUAGUGUAGAGGUGAAAUUCGUAGAUAUUAGGAAGAACACCGGUGGCGAAGGCGGCCCACUGGUCCGGUACUGACGCUGAGGUGCGAAAGCGUGGGGAGCAAACAGG
rnacentral:rRNA from 1 species